rnacentral:lncRNA from 1 species
UUCAAUCUUUUCUACUAGGUAAUCUAGUAUCCUUAUGCGUGAAGAUAAUCAAUUCGGUCGUUGUGGUCUGAUCCAAGACCAUACAUAUUGAUAGAUACAACUACUAUUUAUUUGCUGAAUAGACAGAUUCAUUAAAAAAAUCAUGACUAUACUUAACAAUAAAAUACUCGGAAAGGCCCACAUAAAACGAAGAUUUUUUGUUGUCAUCGGAAAAAGAAAAAGUUGACUCCUAUUAACAUAAGAACUGGAAGUGGAACAAAAGGUAUGAUCCAUGCAUAUUGAUAUGUCUGUUCCAUAAAAAAAGUUUUUUAAUUAAUUAUUUCUGAUUCACCGGAUCUUACCUCUUUUGAAAAAAGUCAAUAAAAAAAUCAAGAUAUGCACUAAUUUAAAUAGAAUUUUCAAAUUUUUUUACCUCUUGCAAUCCAAUUUACUGUCUCCUACAGCCUUCUGAUCUGUACAAAGCGUCUUCCCAAGUAGAA